AGAGUUACAGCUCAGUGAUAGAGUACAUGCUUAGCAGGCAUGAGGCCUUGGGUUCUACCCACAGCUCUA
rnacentral:tRNA from 1 species